rnacentral:lncRNA from 1 species
UGGCAAAUGGUCAUCAGCCUCUUCAGCCCCUGAAUGUACUUCCUUUGAGUUUCAUCAUUGAGAACGUGGGCGACGUGCUUGGAGAAAAUCUUUUCACGACCCGUUCGAGCGUGGAUGCCAACCAUAGUGACACCAAUGGGCCACGGCGCGUUCCCAAUAGCCAUCUGGAGAUAGGCAUCGUUCGCCUUCACAUAUUCUCUUUGCAACAUGAAUUUAAUAAUAUCUGUUAUUGAUUCUUUGAUGUCUGCAGGAAGUGUCCUUUUCCGAAGCUUUCUGAAGAGCGGCCUCAGGUAGGACUCUGUCUGCUUCUGAGUGGCACUGUUCAGCUUUCCCUGCACUCCCCGCUUCACAUAGUCCUCUCUGGCAUUCAGCUCCUUCGCCCAAACUCCAAGAAGAAACUUCAAGAAUUUUGUGAUAAUAUCCAUGUCAUAGUGAUCAUCACCCCGUCCUAAGGACUCUCCCAAAGCCUCCAGUUCUUCAAUAGUAGUAUUCUCCUCAUGGACUUUCAAGUCAUUCUGUGAGUCAUCAUCUCCUGCUUCUUGGCCACCUACAAUUUCAUUCAAGUAUUGCUGAUCAAUCUUAUCCAAAGCAGCCUUCAGGUCAUUCCUCAGGCCCUUGUUCACUUCAGGUGCCAAAAUUUCUAUCUUCCUCAGACGCUGAAAUGCAUCAUAAUCUGUUUCUCCAAACAGUCUGACUGGCUCACCUCUCUCCCGUAACCUCCUGAUAACCUCUUGUCUGGAAAGAGUCAUUGGUAAUUUUUCUUCUGCCAGUUCAAGUUCCAGCACUGGAUUCGUUGAAGUCAGAGGCUUCUCCUCCUCUUCUUGCUGCUGCACCUUGUAGCCACAUCUCUGGAAGUAGGCCUCCUCUUCUUUUUUAGCUAACUCACUGCGUUUGAAGUAUUUCUUAUUCCCCCCCACCAGCUCCUUGUCUUCCAGCUGCUGUCGCUUGCGGCUGAUCUCCCGCUUCAGGAUAUCCAUGGCGGUAAGGCCUCCUUCGCCA